CGGAGGGUGCAAGCGUUAUCCGGAUUCGACUGGGUUUAAAGGGAGCGCAGGCGGAUUUGUAAGUCAGUGGUGAAAGGCUUAAGCUUAACUUGGGAACUGCCAUUGAUACUAUAAGUCUUGAAUGUUGUUGAGGUUUGCGGAAUGGGUCAUGUAGCGGUGAAAUGCAUAGAUAUGACCCGGAACACCUAUUGCGAAGGCAGCAGGCUAAACAAAUAUUGACGCUGAGGCUCGAAAGCGUGGGGAUCAAACAGGAUUAGAUACCCUGGUAGUCCACGCCCUAAACUAUGAUUACUCGACAUAUGCGAUACACUGUAUGUGUCUGAGCGAAAGCAUUAAGUAAUCCACCUGGGAAGUACGACCGCAAGGUUG
rnacentral:rRNA from 1 species